UCUAAACUAUUGGGGCCUAGGGGGACAAAUUCAAAUAUAAAUACCAUUUAAAGCAAAAGUAAUUACACAAAAUCUGUAUGGAAGAAGUCAAAAAUAUUUUGGUGUAACCUCUUAUUAGUGACAUAAAAGGUUAGGACUCACAGAGAAAGGGCGAGCAAAAAUAGGGAAAACACACACUCUUAUCUCGCAGUCACUUCGCAUAAUUAAGAGUGCUUAAGGCAGCACUGAAGUUGCCAUUGCUAUAAAUGGGUUCCCAGGUCCCCCAAGGUGCAGGAUGUAGAGCGACACCGGAAUUAAAAUAAACACAUGACAACUGCAGCAUGAUAAUGCAUUCACCAAAGAUGCUAGAGGGAGCUCCCCAAGUGGAGGAGUUCACUGACUGACAUCAAACGGAGGAAACUGAAGCCUGUAUGUGUGUCCAGGCUGGAUGACUGUGAGUAGAUUGCGAUGCAGUAUCUUUGGCAGCAGACAGAGACUGCCUCAACUGCUUCAAAUGAAAUCCUGAUGCUUCAUUUCGGGACACAGGCGAGGCCUAAAAGUGUUGGCUAGGUAACUAGUGGACAGAGCUUCUGGGUAGCUCAUUAACUGCUGACGGGAUGGAAGCAAAUGAAAUAAAAGCCAGUACUUGUG